UGAGGGGUCGUCUAAAGGCAGGACAACAGGUUCUGGCCCUGUGAAUCGAGGUUCGAGUCCUUGCCCCUCAGCCA
rnacentral:tRNA from 3 species